rnacentral:rRNA from 1 species
AACGAACGCUGGCGGCAGGCCUAACACAUGCAAGUCGAGCGCGCCCUUCGGGGUGAGCGGCGGACGGGUGAGUAACGCGUGAGAACGUGCCCUUUUCUACGGAAUAGCCUCGGGAAACUGAGAGUAAUACCGUAUACGCCCUUUGGGGGAAAGAUUUAUCGGAAAAGGAUCGGCCCGCGUUGGAUUAGGUAGUUGGUGGGGUAAUGGCCUACCAAGCCGACGAUCCAUAGCUGGUUUGAGAGGAUGAUCAGCCACACUGGGACUGAGACACGGCCCAGACUCCUACGGGAGGCAGCAGUGGGGAAUCUUAGACAAUGGGGGCAACCCUGAUCUAGCCAUGCCGCGUGAGUGAUGAAGGCCUUAGGGUUGUAAAGCUCUUUCAGCUGGGAAGAUAAUGACGGUACCAGCAGAAGAAGCCCCGGCUAACUCCGUG